UACGUAGGGUGCGAGCGUUAAUCGGAAUUACUGGGCGUAAAGCGUGCGCAGGCGGUCUGUUAAGACCGAUGUGAAAUCCCCGGGCUUAACCUGGGAACUGCAUUGGUGACUGGCAGGCUUUGAGUGUGGCAGAGGGAGGUAGAAUUCCACGUGUAGCAGUGAAAUGCGUAGAGAUCCGGAGGAACACCGACGGCGUAGGCAGCGCCCUGGACGACACCUGACGCUGAGGCACGAAAGCUGGGGGAGCGAACAGG
rnacentral:rRNA from 1 species